rnacentral:rRNA from 1 species
GACGAACCGAGCGAACGUUGUUCGGAAUCACUGGGCUUAAAGGGCGCGUAGGCGGGCUGCCGAGUCCGGGGUGAAAGCCCCCCGCUCAACGGGGGAACGGCCUCGGAUACUGGCGGCCUGGAGGCGGGUAGGGGCGUGCGGAACUGUGGGUGGAGCGGUGAAAUGCGUUGAGAUCCACAGGAACUCCGGUGGCGAAGGCGGCACGCUGGACCCGAUCUGACGCUGAGGCGCGAAAGCCAGGGGAGCGAACGGG